GACGAACGCUGGCGGCGUGCCUAAUACAUGCAAGUAGAACGCUGAAGGAGGAGCUUGCUUCUCUGGAUGAGUUGCGAACGGGUGAGUAACGCGUAGGUAACCUGCCUGGUAGCGGGGGAUAACUAUUGGAAACGAUAGCUAAUACCGCAUAAGAGUAGAUGUUGCAUGACAUUUGCUUAAAAGGUGCAAUUGCAUCACUACCAGAUGGACCUGCGUUGUAUUAGCUAGUUGGUGGGGUAACGGCUCACCAAGGCGACGAUACAUAGCCGACCUGAGAGGGUGAUCGGCCACACUGGGACUGAGACACGGCCCAGACUCCUACGGGAGGCAGCAGUAGGGAAUCUUCGGCAAUGGACGGAAGUCUGACCGAGCAACGCCGCGGGAGUGAAGAAGGUUUUCGGAUCGUAAAGCUCGGUUGUAAGAGAAGAACGAGUGUGAGAGUGGAAAGUUCACACUGUGACGGUAUCUUACCAGAAAGGGACGGCUAACUACGUG
rnacentral:rRNA from 1 species